AUACUGACUGACUGACUAACACUGAGAUACUGACUGACUAACACUGAGAUACUGACUGACUAACACUGAGAUACUGACUGACUGACACUGAGUUACUGACUGACUAACACUGAGAUACUGACUGACUAACACUGAGAUACUGACUGACUAACACUGAGAUACUAACUGACUAACACUGAGAUACUGACUGACACUGAGAUACUGACUGAUACUGAGAUACUGACUGAUACUGAGAUACUGACUGACACUGAGAUACUGACUGACACUGAGAUACUGACUGACUGAAUGACACUGAGAUACUGACUGACACCGAGAUACUGACUGACACCGAGAGAUUGACUGACACUGAGUUACUGACUGACUGACUGAUUCUGAGAUACUGACUGAUAUUGACUGACUGACACUGAGAUACUGACUGACACACUGAGAUACUGACUGACUCUGACUGACUUACACUGAGUUGCUGACUGACUAACACUGAGAUAUUGACUGACACUGAGGUACUGACUGACUGACUAACACUGAGAUACUGACUGACUGAAUGACACUGAGAUACUGACUAGCACUGAGAUACUGACUGACUGACACUGAGUUACUGACUGACUGACACUGAGAUACUGACUGACUAACACUGAGAUACUGACUGACUGAAUGACACUGAGAUACUGACUAACACUGAGAUACUGACUGACUGACACUGAGUUACUGACUGACUGACACUGAGAUACUGACUGACUAACACUGAGAUACUGACUGACUGACACACUAACUGACUGACACUGAGAUACUGACUAACACUGAGAUACUGACUAACACUGAGAUACUGACUGACACUGAGAUACUGACUGACUGACACUGAGAUACUGACUGACACUGAGUUACUGACUGACUGACUGAUUCUGAGAUACUGACUUAUAUUGACUGACUGACACUGAGAGACUGACUGAUACUGACUGACUUACACUGAGUUGCUGACUGACUAACACUGAGAUAUUGACUGACACUGAGAUACUGACUGACUGACACUGGGAUACUGACUGACACUGAGAUACUGACUGAC